rnacentral:rRNA from 1 species
UACAGAGACCUCAAGCGUUAUCCGGAAUCAUUGGGCGUAAAGCGUACCGAUAGGUGGUUUAUUAAGUCUUGGGUAAAAGCCGGAAGCUCAACUUCCGCGUUUGCUUAAGAUACUAAUAGACUAGAGGGGCAAAGAGGUGCUUGGAACCAACGGUGUAGUAGUGAAAUGCGUUGAUAUCGUUGGGAACACCGAAAGCGAAGGCAGAGCACUGGGUGCCACCUGACACUGCUAGGACGAAAGCGUGGGGAGCGAAUGGG